CACCUCUAGCAUUGCCAGUAUUAGAGGCACUGCCUGCCCAGUGACAUUAGUUAAACGGCCGCGGUAUCCUGACCGUGCAAAGGUAGCAUAAUCAUUUGUUCCUUAAUUAGGGACUUGUAUGAACGGCCCCACGAGGGUUUAACUGUCUCUUACUUUUAAUCAGUGAAAUUGACCUUCCCGUGAAGAGGCGGGAAUACAAAAAUAAGACGAGAAGACCCUAUGGAGCUUAAAUUAAUAUGUUCAACAGAAUUUAAUUAUAACCCAAUAGGAAUAAAAACAUUCUAACUGAACAAUAAAUUUUGGUUGGGGUGACCUCGGAGUAUAACAUAACCUCCGAGCAAUUAAACCAAGACUUACCAGUCAAGGCCAUAUAACUUAUUGAUCCAAUCUUAUUGAUCAACGAAACAAGUUACCCUAGGGAUAACAGCGCAAUCCUAUUUAAGAGUUCAUAUCGACAAUAGGGUUUACGACCUCGAUGUUGGAUCAGGACACCCAAAUGGUGCAGCAGCUAUUAAAGGUUCGUUUGUUCAACG
rnacentral:rRNA from 1 species